UACGGGGGGUGCAAGCGUUAAUCGGAAUUACUGGGCGUAAAGCGCACGCAGGUGGCUGAGUCAGUCGAUUGUGAAAGCCCUGGGCUUAACCUGGGAAUUGCAGUCGAUACUACUCGGCUCGAGUAUGGGAGAGGGCAGUGGAAUUCCCGGUGUAGCGGUGAAAUGCGUAGAUAUCGGGAGGAACAUCAGUGGCGAAGGCGGCUGCCUGGCCCAAUACUGACACUCAGGUGCGACAGCGUGGGGAGCAAACAGG
rnacentral:rRNA from 1 species